rnacentral:tmRNA from 1 species
GGGGCCGCCCGGUUUUGACAGCAUAGAUCUUUGAGCGUGUAAGCAUGUCGUGCGUUGUAUCAUUAGCACGUUAAUCUGAAGAUUCAAACCAUAAAUGGCGAAACUUCAUUCGCUAUGGCUGCCUAAUUAGAUUAGGUAUCCAUAAUGGCCGGGCAUUUCGGGUAGGUUUGUAACCCACGUUGCCCCGCCUUCACCCGAGAAUACAAACUGCUGUCUGAACAGGCUGUGAAGCAGACAAAAGAUUUAUACAGCUAAGAGAGGGGUAGGUAUGUUUCUGUCCGGCUCCUCCCCGACAAACAAUCAGAAAAUAAGCAUGUAGAAAGCGUUUGUAGAAUGUGUUUGGACGCGGGUUCGAUUCCCGCCGGCUCCACAA